GGGGGCGUACUGGUUUUCGACCAGCUGAAUACGUUUCUGAUUGCAUGUCGAGGAUGGCUCGUUUCCCUCGUAAAAUCCAUCGAACCAAAAACAUAACUGCCAACGAAGAAUUGGCCCUCGGGGCAUAAA
rnacentral:tmRNA from 1 species